rnacentral:rRNA from 1 species
UACGGGGGGGGCAAGCGUUGUUCGGAAUUACUGGGCGUAAAGCGCGCGCAGGCGGUCUUCCAAGUCAGUGGUGAAAGCCCGGAGCUCAACUCCGGAAUUGCCAUUGAAACUGUUAGACUUGAGGAUGAGAGAGGUGAGUGGAAUUCCCAGUGUAGAGGUGAAAUUCGUAGAUAUUGGGAAGAACACCGGUGGCGAAGGCGGCUCACUGGCUCAUUACUGACGCUCAGGCGCGAUAGCGUGGGGAUCAAACAGG